rnacentral:rRNA from 1 species
UCGAGAAUCUUUCACAAUGGGCGAAAGCCUGAUGGAGCGACGCCGCGUGGAGGAUGAAGGCCUUCGGGUUGUAAACUCCUGUCAUGAGGGAACAAGAAAGUGAUAGUACCUCAAGAGGAAGAGACGGCUAACUCUGUGCCAGCAGCCGCGGUAAUACAGAGGUCUCAAGCGUUGUUCGGAUUUACUGGGCGUAAAGGGUGCGUAGGCGGUGGCGUAAGUCGAGUGUGAAAUCUUCCGGCCUAACCGGAAAACUGCACUCGAUACUGCGUCACUAGAGGACUGUAGAGGAGACUGGAAUUCACGGUGUAGCGGUGAAAUGCGUAGAUAUCGGAAGGAACAUCGGUGGCGAAGGCGUCUACCUGGCCUAAUACUGACACUGAGGCACGAAAGCGUGGGGAGCAAACAGGAUUAGAUACCCCCGUAGUCCCUGAGCGGGCUGGCAAGGCGCAU